UAAAGAGGAAAAGUUGGACCAAGGAAGAAGACAGCAGGACACUUCUAGGAAACUCUGCUGAGGAACAUGACCAGGUGAAUGGAGGUUGCACAAAUCAAACAUGCUUGAAUAGUGCAGUCCAGUGUGGAGCAAACCCUGAGGAACAUGCCAAGAGUGUCAUCUCCAUUCUCCGGGUUGUCCUUCUAGAAGAAAGAAGGUCCCAGGAGCUGAAAGAAGCUGCAGAGCAGGUCAAACAAUGGGCAACGCUAAACAGUGUUACACUGGAGGGAAGAAAUCGUGGCUACCCUCAAAGAUGGUUGAGAGAGUACCUAAUUAUUGUGAAAUUGUCUGUAGAGAAACACUUUCCUGCCCUGCCACCAGACGGGGCUGAAAAUUCGUACAAUGAGACAGUGGAAUACCUGAAAAAUGCAAAGAGGUCAGUGUGUAUGAAGCUGACAGGUCUGGCUGAUGUUUUAGAGGAUGCAGGACUGCUGAGUUACCUGGUUGACAGCUAUAAUCACCGCCUGUUUGCUGUGUUGGAAAUAUUAAUGGACAGAAGUUCAUCAAUGAAAGAGGCUCUCUUCCUUCUGCAGUGGGUGACGCAGACAUACGUAAGUCAUGGCUCAAAAGGAAUCUCCAACAUCAAGGAUGAUGUACUCAGAGUGUCUGACCCUUUGUUGCUGACUGGAUGGAUUGAAAAGUCAAAGCAGAAGAUCCUUACACUCUAUCAGGACAACAUCUCCACAGCACUACAGGGGGUCCUGCUGUACAAUGAGGCUGAAUGCGAUUACAACAAGGAAGAGGAACUCAUUAAAAUACAUGUAGAUGUUCUUCAGUGUCUCAAUGGUUCUGUUGAGGAGACAAAAACCAUCAGCCCCAUUCUGAUGACAGCUGUUCAACAAAUUUGCUGUGAUGAACUCCACAUUUUUGUUCAGAGGUAUGUGAAUACUGAGAAAAAACAGCUGGAGGUGCAGAAGCCCAGUGAAACAUAUUUACUGCAUCUCUUCCGAUUAACAAACACCUGUAGGCACCUAAGGUUUUAUGCUUUGACUAUUAUGGAAGCAGACAACAACAGAGACUCGGCCACUGUUCAGAUGUUAAAGAACAUGGAGGCUCAGGUUUCAGUUUGUCUACAGAAGUGGAUUUCAGGCAUAGCUGAGGAGCAUCUAAAGAAGUAUUUCGAGGAACAGGAUGCCCACUUAAACAGAUUAUUGGAAAAUAUCAGAAAAAUAUUUACAUCUCUUGUUCAAAUAGGAAACCAUGGAGAGGAAACAAAAACAGACAUUGUGAAUGUAGCGUACCAGAGCGUAACUAGAGCUUACCUGCGGUGUCUGGUAAAGAGGAAAUGCAAAAAGUUAGAAAAAAGGUGGGGAGUCGUUGACAAGCAGAUGAUGAGGGAUGCUGAACUGUUUCACGAUGUCUUCCCAAAACAGGGUACCAGUUGUAAUGGGCAGAAAACGUUUCUGCUGAAGAUGAGUGAAAUUGUAGGUACUACUGAUGUAGAGAGUCUAAAGCUUGACUGUGCAGCCCUGUGCAAAAACUUCCCUAAGGAGAGCAAAGAACACCUACCUGCCCUGCUGAAGUGGAAACGGAGAUUGUCAAAUUCGCAGAGGAAUAAAAUACUGGCGGCCAGUAAAGAGGCCUUUCAAAAUGGAGAUGAUUUUACUACCUGCUCCCAGUGGUGGAGCUACUGCCUCUGCUGCACGUGAUGACAGCAACCUUAUUAGUAUCAAGGAGAACUAAUGAAAUGGUCAGUGAUCAGAUAUAUUUCAGACCAAACAUUGAACAGGCCUUUCCUACUGCUGUGUGAUGAAGAUGUGAUGAAGCUGUUGCCUGAAAAAGUGGUUAUGGCUGAAUAUACUUAACUGUUUAAGUGUUUUAUUUGUUAUUUUAUGUUGCAUUUGUUUAAUGAAAAAAAAUAUAUUAUAUAACAGUAGCAGUAAAGUUAUACAAAGAAAUUGGGCUUUAAGCUAAUAGGAAUUUUUUUAUAAUAGAUUUCCAGGAAUGAAGAUUCCAAAUUUUGUAGAUUGUUUUGGAAUUCUGUGGAAGUGUUUUAAUUACUUCAGUUGUCAGUACUGACAUUCCUGUUAUUUCUGAUAUUAUGUAUUUAUUAUUUAUUAGAUACAUAUAUUUAAUAUGUAUUUAAUGUAUAUAUUUAUUUUUAAAUGUAUGUUUAUAUUGAUGGUACUAUAGUAGUCCUAGUGUUUAAAGACUCCUGAUAUGGUUUGGCUAUGUCUUUUCUACUAAAUUACUGCAGGUCCUGAGUAGAUGAACUUCUGCUUUGACAUUUUUCUGUCACUGACAUAGAUUGGUACCUGGAGUUUACAUUUUAAAGACAAAAUCAAUCACAUACAGGUGAUAAAAGUGCUUCACUGUUAUUAAAACCUCUGUUUACACAGUUGUACUGACUAUGUUUACAGGUAUACCAGAUAUAUGUCUAUUUACUGUGUACUUUGAUUAAGGCAGGCUGCUUUCUGUACACAAUGUGUCAGCGUCCGUUUUGCUUAAAUAAAAAAAUGUUUACAUUACA
ensembl:lncRNA